GUGGCCUCAGUGUCCCUCAGUGCGGGUAUGAGGGCAGUGGGUGUCCCUCAGUGCCGGUGUGAGGGCCAUGGGCGUCCCUCAGUGUCCCUCAGUGCCGGCGGGGCCCGGUGCGAGGUCGGGGGUUCUGGGGCAUUUGAGAUGGAGCAGAGCGGAUGUGACCCACCCCAGUGUUCCUUAAAAAACUCCCGGGUUUGCUCUUAAACACCCCUCGGGAUGUUCAGGGUUGGUGCUGGGGCGGUUUCCCUCACACCGCCAGCGGGACCCGGUUAAAGGGCUUUUUUUUUUUUCUUUUUUUCUUUUUUUUUCUCCUUCUCUGCCUCUUGCUCUGUUUGUAUAGUAAUAAAAUAUUUUGGCAUAAGUGCUGCAUGGGCCCCAGGAGAAAUUUGGAAAUGCCAGUCUGAAGAAAUGCCAGGACUUUUAACCCUUUGUAGCUAAGGGUAUAUAUGAGAAUGGCAGGCAGCAAUCCAAAAGCUGAAAUAUUAAGGGAAAGAAGAGGGUGAUAUUUAGGAUUUUCCACAGCUUAACAUUUCUGAUGGAAGGCUUAAUUAAUUGUACAAUACAGGUUUUAUUCAGAUGUAUCAAUGUUGAUGCUACUGGGAUUGCAGUAUUGCAAACAACUUGAAAAUCUUGAUUAAGACUCAAAAUAUUUACAAUUUCCCCGUGUGUUUCUCACCCAUUUUGAAAUCUAGAAGGUUGAACACGCUUUCAGUGAAAAGUGGGUCACUUGUCUCUCUGCACCCCAAAUGGAAAAUAAAAUGUGAAGAUUUUAUCAUUACAGUCACUGGCAAUCGGGAGAGACUGCUGGGAAGUCUGAGAGAGAGUCCUGGGUAUUUGUUCUGAUCAAAAGCAGACAAAGUGAAACAGCUCCCUAAACACAGAAGGUGAAAAGACAAAUAGAGGGGGUUGUUUUGGUUUGGUUUUUGGCUUAGAGCUCGGGAGUCUCGGCGGAGCCACAAGCACACACUGGCAGGGGACACCAGGCGCUGGUGGCGGUUCAGCUCUGGCCCUGCUGUUCUGGGUCCAGCAGCGCAUUUCCCUUUGGAGUGGGAAAACCUGCACCGUGCUGCAGGUCGGUGUUUUCAGGUGAGAUUUCAUAAUGAGCUUUACGAGCUUUGUAACUGCCGCUGAGCUGCUAAAAAAAGCCAGGUUUUAGGAGCAGAGACUUUCUUUUAAGUGGUUUUAGUGCUCCAUGAGAAGCGUUUGGGACUGAAUUAAAUGUACAGAGCUAAGAUGUUGGUAAUCAAGGCAGCCAUGGGAUCCUUUAAAGCUGUACAAAUCAGGAUGUGCUUUUCUGGGGCUUAUGGAAAGGAAGCUUCUCAUGCAGUCCAUGCUGUAGAAAAAUCCACUGUUAAAUGCACCUAGACCAAUUUUUAGGUCCGUUCCACCCCAAACCAUUCUAUGAUUCUAAAUGUUAAUGAUGGAUCAUUGGCCCAGGAAUAACCUAUUUGAGGAUCAACCCCACUUCUAGUGUUCCAGUGGAAGUUUCAAUUUAUCCUUUUUGUCUGAAAAAAUAGCUUUUCAACUGCAGUGAUCACAGCGUGGUCCACACACGGCAUGCCAGAGACCUUGACAAGUCUUCUCCCCAGCAGAGCAAAUCCACACAAGUAUUUCAGAACAAGGCAGGAGGCAGGAGUGAGAUUAGAAGUAAGAAGACUUUCUUAAUCUACAUUAAAUAAGAAGGGUUUGAUCUAAUGCCCUGUUCAUAGCCAGAUCCUGCAAUGCUGGCCAGCAGACAGCCUCAUCAGCAACUGAACUACAAUUUCCUUAGUCUGGAUCUCUGCAGAAUAAUCUCCAAAUCUAAGAUCUCUGCAUUGUAAAACAACUACAUUACUUCAAAACCUUGCAGAGACUGCACAGACUUGACAAAGAGACCUUUUCUGCUAAAGAAAUCUAAAUUUGAUUCCUGAAAUAAUAACUAGCUCUCUUUAAAAUCUAAAUUAGCAUGUGUUUAUUGAUCAACACAUCCAAAAUACAGUUUGUUAAUCUUAAAAGUUGUUUAAAGCAAUUAUAUAUAACCAAGAAAAAUUUUGCUAAUUAUGUCAGCAAGGACAAGAAUUUGAAAGCUGCAGGAAGACAGGCUCAGCAUUUCCACCACCCAUCCGUUUUGUAGAAUCCUCUUCUCUGCUAAAUGUAUGUUGCUGUACAGAAUAUGUAAGAUUUGUCCUGAUGGUGGACAAGAAGCUUUGUAUCAUACCUUCCCAAAUCGUGUGCAGUCUCCUUUUUAACAUUUUCCUAUUUGAGAUCAAAAUUCCCCCUUUAGCAUGGGAGCCUGGGCUCUGAUCUUGAAAAAUUGGAAAGCUUUCCCCAUUGUAUUCAUCUCUCUCUAGCCCAGUUUUUGCCAUUUGCUGAUUUUAACAUGUGUUCCUUUUCCCCACCAUCUAUCAGUGUGAGCAACCAGGCCUGGCUGCUCUCCAGCAGAUAUCAGCACCGUGUUUGAAAUGGGAUGUAGAUUCUCCUACAUUUCACUUUACCAGCAGUGAUUUUUCCAUAAAUACUGAUUAGAAAGGGGGUCUGGACCUAUCAGGUGUUGCCCAGUACCAAAAGCUCUCUGACCACAAAGGUUUUUUGAGGUGGGAAACCACAAAAUCACCUUUUAAGUGAUGUUGUUCCAAUGAAGUAAAAAAAUAAGCAGGAGCAGAAUUCAGGCAAAACAGCCAGGUCACCUUCUAGGAGAGCCCCAAGCUUGUCUCUAAUCCUGUGAAUAUGUAUAUAUUUAUUUAUUUUCUGGGCCAACAUCAGUAGCAGGAACUGAUCUGCAGGAGAUUAGACCUCACAAGGACAUCACCCUCUCCUAAGUGGAAUGCUACCAAUAUUAUAGCUCACCUAGAAUAAGUUGAUAGAGUCCAGAGCAAGACACAGAAAGCAGGUGUUGGGUAAGAAGGAGAAAUAAAACCAGGAGAAAUAAAUAUUUUGCACCAAAGCUUUUUUUUUUCCAGCUUCAAGGAUGAAACUUCAAGUAAAAAUGUGGGUUGUUUGUUUUGCCUGAAGAUGGUAUAAGGUAGGAUCUGUUCUUGAAGAGGAGCCUAAUAAGCAACAUUUUCAGAAUGGGGUACAGAUUCUGAGAAGGCCAGUAAAAAGAGUGAAAUGAGGAGUAAAUAAUCUAAAACUGCUGUGAAAAGUAAUGGUCACAAGUAGAGAGAAACUGUAAUAAGAGGGAGAGGGAAUAGGAAAUAUUUUAUGAGCAUCAGAAUUUCCUAUAGUUGUGAGUGAAUGGGCUGAAGAAGGAGGAAGGAAGAUUGAUUUCAUACAUUAAAGAGGUUGACCUUUGAAGAAAGUUUUAUUAAAAUCCAAUAUAAUUUUUACUCGAAUUCCCCUUUGUGCUGGGAACCUGCCAGUUUAAUGUCACUCAGUUGUGCAGUAUCUGUUAAUAGAUAAAAUUAUGAGGUGGGGACUGUCCUAGCUGAUAGCCAUGGAACUUCAAGUUAAUCAGCUUCAAGUGCUUUACUAUGCUCAUUCCAAACAAUUAUUCAUAAACACUUUUAAAGGGACAGAAAGCUGCUUUUAAAACUGUCAGUACUUUCACAGGGAUCAAAAAUAAACACUGAAGGGCCAGUCUUUUGCCCUUUCAGACUCUGAAUAGAUGAAGGUAGCUUGAAAACGUCUCACUAGGAAUUUACUUAAGAAUUUUGUGUACUUAGCAUUUUCCAGGAAGGAAAGUAAAUAUUUGUUUUCCUGAAAAGGGAAUUCCAGGAAAACCUUUCAGUCUUAUUCAAGAGAGAUACUGAAUGUGAAAAAAAUAGAUAGUAAAUGGGAAAAAACAUCAGUACAAAUAAAUAGCUUUCAUUCAGGGCAUUUAAACUGAAAGAAACAGCAAUAGAGGAGUGACUGUUUAUCAAAACAGUCCAAUAAACACAAAAAUUCUGCUACUUUUUUUAAUGUUCUGAUUAUCAUCAGCUAGGGUAAAAAAAAAUAUCAUCUGAGAACUACCAGGGGUCUCUUUUUGAAAUAAAUGGAAACUCAACUUUAUUUAGGCAAAGAUCCAGCCAAUACCACCUUUCCUGACUAACCACAAUGUCCUCUAAACCAAAUCUGCACCCUUUGGGUCUCCUAGCACUGCUUUUUGUUUACUUAGGAAGGAUCAGUGAAGCUUUCACUGUUUUCUAGUUUUUCAACAAAGUGAUGUAGAUGCACCUUGAAUGAGAAGGGCAGGAAGGAUGUUUCCAUGCACUGUCAAUUUAUUAUCGAGAUUGGAAGGUGCCUCAACUUUUUGCAGUAAAAUCCAGAACAAAAUAUAAUUUUAACAUCCCCAGAAGAUCUCCCUUGGUUCUUGCCUAAGAAUUUAAAGCAACCAAAAAUAGUGCAGCUCAGUAAGAAGCCAUCCAUAUUUUAAGCUUUCAGGCAAUCCCUUUUCUCUGGAGCAUGUGGCUGUUGUCUGGGUUUCUUAUGCCUUUCUGCAUGCUAUUUCUAUCAGUAACAGUGUUUUAUUCUGAGUUCAGGACUUGGAGAGUUUAAUUAGUGACUACCAGGUGGCAGGCAGAAUCUCACCUUUAGGAAAGGCACUAGUUUGAAGUGUUGAUCCUGGGUCUGAAGUCUGAUUUGAGAAGUGCUGAGUUAACCUGCUGUGCUGUCAUGCUAUGACAGUAUGAGUGAUGGUGACUUCAAAGUAAAUGAGUUCAAAUGUCUGUGUCUUGAUAAAUACAGUCUGAAAAUCAUCCUCAUGGGAGAAAAUAAUGAAAACUGUCUGUAUUUUAUAAAAAGACAAACAAAAACCAACAAGGGUGUUUCUUUUCAGCUGAACAGGAACCCAGUACCUGUAGAGACAUGAAGAGCUGGUUGAGUGGAAAGGUGUCAGGAUAUGACAGUUGAAGUUUUGGCCCUGAAUCUUUUGGGGAUUGACUUUUUUUCCCCCAUUAUCCAUGGGGGAAAAAAGUCAAUGGAAAUUUCUCUUUGAGCUUGCUGUGCCACAGAUCUGGUCCUUACUCAGCUCCUAUUAAAGUCCAUUGAGUCACAGAGACAGGAAUAGUGGAAGGGAAUGAAGAUUCAAGCUGUGUGUUUGCUCCUGAGACAUAGAUAGCAGAUUUUACACAGUUUGUGCAUCUGGUUCAUAUAAAGAACAGUUCAUGUCUGUCACUGGCAUUGAAAUGAUCACUCAGUUCAAAUAAUAAAUCACUUAUUUCCUCUCCAACUUCUGAUUCCUAAAGGUGCAAUUCCCAACAUAAUACAAUAAGUGCCCUAAAAGAUAAAGCAAAAGGUCAUGUUAGCAUACGUCUUUCCUGAACCGAUGUCAAAAGGCUGCAUAAAACCACACCUUGAAAUCCCCCAGCACAGCGCUCAUGGGACUCGCCAACAAUUUCACAGAGAUUCUCCUGUUUUACAGGUCACAGCUCUUUACCCUGUGAUGGGUGGACUGAGGCACCCUCGUGUACCUACCUAUAUAUGACCCACUUGAUUAGAACAGAAUGUUUUCUCUAGAACACACAACCCAGUAGGAGCCAUUAUCUCAUGUGCUAUUAUUAAUGCAAAGACUUCAGAGGGCCCCUGCACACAGCAGUGGAUCUGUGCAGUCUCAAGAGUAGCUGUAACUAAGAUCUUCAGAAACAGGGAUAAAACAGCCAUGUCACACAAUUACAUUGAGUUUGGCAAUGGGAAGAAGAGAUUUCUUCUUGAUCCCACAUGACAAUUAUCUUCCAUGCUGGGAAAUGAGCACUUGGAGUGACAUACUUUUUAUUGUAGCUAAUGGAACUCAGAUUUGUAAAGAAAGUGAUUCUGCUGUGUGACCAUAUUAUCUAAAUUGCUUUGUCGUCAACGCAUAAAAAACUGAAUAUAAAAUUGCCUGAGUAUAAUUGAGUGCUGACUCACCCCCCGAUUAGGGUAAAUGGUGCAGUGUUCCAGGGUGCCUUGGAGCUUUCUAUAGUCUCACAAUCCUAUGUGAGAUCUCCUGAUUGAUUUUUUCCUCCUCCAAGCAAACUUAUGUUUCAUGCUCCUAUUUGAGGCUACAUGCUACAAAUCCAGCUGCUGUCACAAGACAUCUUCCCCCUGCUUUGUUAUCUUGAUCAAUUUUCUGCUGAAACUCAUCUUUCAUCCUGGCUAGUGCUGUUGCCUCCCUUGAGAUUAUUCCAACUCCUGCCUCUCCAUAUUCAUAGCCACUCUCUGAGCUCCAACUGUAACUCUCUAGUUUCUAAAGCUGUAUAGCUGAGGAUGUUUUCUCACAAAAAACUUUUCCAUAAAUUGUCACAAUUUCAUUUCAGUCUAAUCCAAGCCUGAAUACACACAUGACUCUUCUCAGAACAGAUUUUCAAUAAAAGUACCUGCUUACAUGAGCAAGAAAA